AGUGAACGCUGGCGGUAGGCCUAACACAUGCAAGUCGAACGGCAGCACAGUAAGAGCUUGCUCUUACGGGUGGCGAGUGGCGGACGGGUGAGGAAUACAUCGGAAUCUACUUUUUCGUGGGGGAUAACGUAGGGAAACUUACGCUAAUACCGCAUACGACCUACGGGUGAAAGCAGUGGAUCUUCGCACCUUGCGCGAUUGAAUGAGCCGAUGUGGGAUUAGCUAGUUGGCCGGGUAAAGCCCAACCAAGGCGACGAUCCGUAGCUGGUCUGAGAGGAGGAUCAGCCACACUGGAACUGAGACACGGUCCAGACUCCUACGGGAGGCAGCAGUGGGGAAUAUUGGACAAUGGGCGCAAGCCUGAUCCAGCCAUACCGAGUGGGUGAAGAAGGCCUUCGGGUUGUAAAGCCCUUUUGUUGGGAAAGAAAAGCAGCAGGUUAAUACCCCGCUGUUCUGACGGUACCCAAAGAAUAAGCACCGGCUAACUUCGUG
rnacentral:rRNA from 1 species